CUUAAGAGCCAUUUCACAAUUUUACGCUCUGCAAGUUUAGGUAAAUUUGGUCGCAUCGCGCGAGUCGUACGAGCCGCGCGAUCUUUGUGCUAGUACGUAUAGUGUGACAACCAAAAGACCAUCGUGAUCAUUUUCUGAUGUAUAAUAAAAAUUAUAACUAUGUUUACGAAUGAAUCUAAUAUUUACGAUAUGAAUAAAAAAGCAUUUAAUGACAUCGACACCGACAAACAUAUUAAUUAACAAAUAACAAGACAAACAGAUUGAAAUGCCUAUUUGUAUUGAUAGUGUGAGAAAAGAAAAUUAA
rnacentral:misc_RNA from 1 species